UACGUAGGGUGCGAGCGUUGUCCGGAAUUAUUGGGCGUAAAGGGCGCGUAGGCGGCUUGAUGUGUCAAAGGUGAAAUCCCUCGGCUCAACUGAGGAACUGCCUUUGAAACUGUCUGGCUUGAGGCCGGGAGAGGGUAGCGGAAUUCCCAGUGUAGCGGUGAAAUGCGUAGAUAUCUGGAGGAACACCGGUGGCGAAGGCGCAUCCUGGACCGGCAUUGACGCUGAGGCGCGAAAGCUAGGGGAGCAACGGG
rnacentral:rRNA from 1 species